rnacentral:rRNA from 1 species
AGUGAACGCUGGCGGUAGGCCUAACACAUGCAAGUCGAACGGCAGCACAGUAAGAGCUUGCUCUUACGGGUGGCGAGUGGCGGACGGGUGAGGAAUACAUCGGAAUCUACUUUUUCGUGGGGGAUAACGUGGGGAAACUUACGCUAAUACCGCAUACGACCUACGGGUGAAAGCAGGGGAUCUUCGGACCUUGCGCGAUUGAAUGAGCCGAUGUCGGAUUAGCUAGUUGGCGGGGUAAAGGCCCACCAAGGCGACGAUCCGUAGCUGGUCUGAGAGGAUGAUCAGCCACACUGGAACUGAGACACGGUCCAGACUCCUACGGGAGGCAGCAGUGGGGAAUAUUGGACAGUGGGCGCAAGCCUGAUCCAGCCAUACCGCGUGGGUGAAGAAGGCCUUCGGGUUGUAAAGCCCUUUUGUUGGGAAAGAAAAGCAGCAGGUUAAUACCCCGCUGUUCUGACGGUACCCAAAGAAUAAGCACCGGCUAACUUCGU